rnacentral:rRNA from 1 species
UACCUACUCUUGACAUCCAGUGAACUUAGCAGAGAUGCUUUGGUGCCUUCGGGAACUCUGAGACAGGUGCUGCAUGGCUGUCGUCAGCUCGUGUUGUGAAAUGUUGGGUUAAGUCCCGCAACGAGCGCAACCCUUAUCCUUUGUUGCCAGCGGUCCGGCCGGGAACUCAAAGGAGACUGCCAGUGAUAAACUGGAGGAAGGUGGGGAUGACGUCAAGUCAUCAUGGCCCUUACGAGUAGGGCUACACACGUGCUACAAUGGCGCAUACAAAGAGAAGCGACCUCGCGAGAGCAAGCGGACCUCAUAAAGUGCGUCGUAGUCCGGAUUGGAGUCUGCAACUCGACUCCAUGAAGUCGGAAUCGCUAGUAAUCGUGGAUCAGAAUGCCACGGUGAAUACGUUCCC